rnacentral:rRNA from 1 species
AAAAAAGGUAAGCUACUAAGAGCGAAUGGUGGAUGCCUUGACUGGUAAAGGCGAUGAAGGACGUACUAGACUGCGAUAAGCUACGGGGAGCUGUCAAGAAGCUUUGAUCCGUAGAUUUCCGAAUGGGGCAACCCAAUGUAUAGAGAUAUACAUUACCUAUAUAGGAGCGAACGAGGGGAAUUGAAACAUCUUAGUACCCUCAGGAAAAGAAAUCAAUAGAGAUUGCGUCAGUAGCGGCGAGCGAAAGCGCAAGAGGGCAAACCCAGUGCUUGCACUGGGGGUUGUAGGACUGCAAUGUGCAAGAGCUGAGUUUAGCAGAACAUUCUGGAAAGUAUAGCCAUAGAGGGUGAUAGUCCCGUAUGCGAAAAACAAAGCUUAGCUAGCAGUAUCCUGAGUAGGGCGGGACACGAGGAAUCCUGUCUGAAUCCGGGUCGACCACGAUCCAACCCUAAAUACUAAUACCAGAUCGAUAGUGCACAAGUACCGUGAGGGAAAGGUGAAAAGAACUGAGGUGAUCAGAGUGAAAUAGAACCUGAAACCAUUUGCUUACAAUCAUUCAGAGCACUAUGUAGCAAUACAGUGUGAUGGACUGCCUUUUGCAUAAUGAGCCUGCGAGUUGUGGUGUCUGGCAAGGUUAAGCAAACGCGAAGCCGUAGCGAAAGCGAGUCUGAAUAGGGCGCUUAGUCAGAUGCUGCAGACCCGAAACGAAGUGAUCUAUCCAUGAGCAAGUUGAAGCUAGUGUAAGAACUAGUGGAGGACUGAACCCAUAGGCGUUGAAAAGCCCCGGGAUGACUUGUGGAUAGGGGUGAAAGGCCAAUCAAACUUCGUGAUAGCUGGUUCUCUCCGAAAUAUAUUUAGGUAUAGCGUUGUGUCGUAAUAUAAGGGGGUAGAGCACUGAAUGGGCUAGGGCAUACACCAAUGUACCAAACCCUAUCAAACUCCGAAUACCUUAUAUGUAAUCACAGCAGUCAGGCGGCGAGUGAUAAAAUCCGUCGUCAAGAGGGAAACAACCCAGACUACCAGCUAAGGUCCCUAAAUCUUACUUAAGUGGAAAACGAUGUGAAGUUACUUAAACAACCAGGAGGUUGGCUUAGAAGCAGCCAUCCUUUAAAGAAAGCGUAAUAGCUCACUGGUCUAGUGAUUUUGCGCGGAAAAUAUAACGGGGCUAAAGUAAGUACCGAAGCUGUAGACUUGCGCACAACUUAGAUUAUUUAAGUUUAGAAUAUGAGAAACUAAGUUAUAUUUUUACUGAUUUUUAUAGAGUAAAGAUAGAAAUAAAACUUAGUAAAAUCAGUAAAAAUAUUCUUAGGCUAAAGUUAAGUAGUUUAAGUUGUGUGCAAGUGGUAGGAGAGCGUUCUAUUUGCGUCGAAGGUAUACCGGUAAGGAGUGCUGGAGCGAAUAGAAGUGAGCAUGCAGGCAUGAGUAGCGAUAAUUAAUGUGAGAAUCAUUAACGCCGUAAACCCAAGGUUUCCUACGCGAUGCUCGUCAUCGUAGGGUUAGUCGGGUCCUAAGUCGAGUCCGAAAGGGGUAGACGAUGGCAAAUUGGUUAAUAUUCCAAUACCAACAUUAGUGUGCGAUGGAAGGACGCUUAGGGCUAAGGGGGCUAGCGGAUGGAAGUGCUAGUCUAAGGUCGUAGGAGGUUAUACAGGCAAAUCCGUAUAACAAUACUCCGAGAACUGAAAGGCUUUUUGAAGUCUUCGGAUGGAUAGAAGAACCCCUGAUGCCGUCGAGCCAAGAAAAGUUUCUAAGUUUAGCUAAUGUUGCCCGUACCGUAAACCGACACAGGUGGGUGGGAUGAGUAUUCUAAGGCGCGUGGAAGAACUCUCUUUAAGGAACUCUGCAAAAUAGCACCGUAUCUUCGGUAUAAGGUGUGGUUAGCUUCGUACUAGGAUUUACUCCGAAAGCGAAGAAACUUACAACAAAGAGUCCCUCCCGACUGUUUACCAAAAACACAGCACUCUGCUAACUCGUAAGAGGAUGUAUAGGGUGUGACGCCUGCCCGGUGCUCGAAGGUUAAUUGAUGGGGUUAGCAUUAGCGAAGCUCUUGAUCGAAGCCCGAGUAAACGGCGGCCGUAACUAUAACGGUCCUAAGGUAGCGAAAUUCCUUGUCGGUUAAAUACCGACCUGCAUGAAUGGCGUAACGAGAUGGGAGCUGUCUCAAAGAGGGAUCCAGUGAAAUUGUAGUGGAGGUGAAAAUUCCUCCUACCCGCGGCAAGACGGAAAGACCCCGUGGACCUUUACUACAGCUUGACACUGCUAUUUGGAUAAGAAUGUGCAGGAUAGGUGGGAGGCUUUGAGUAUAUGACGCCAGUUGUAUAGGAGCCAUUGUUGAGAUACCACUCUUUCUUAUUUGGGUAGCUAACCAGCUUGAGUUAUCCUCAAGUGGGACAAUGUCUGGUGGGUAGUUUGACUGGGGCGGUCGCCUCCCAAAUAAUAACGGAGGCUUACAAAGGUUGGCU